UACGUAGGGUGCGAGCGUUGUCCGGAAUUAUUGGGCGUAAAGAGCUUGUAGGCGGUUUGUCGCGUCUGCUGUGAAAAUCCGGGGCUCAACCCCGGACUUGCAGUGGGUACGGGCAGACUAGAGUGUGGUAGGGGAGACUGGAAUUCCUGGUGUAGCGGUGGAAUGCGCAGAUAUCAGGAAGAACACCCGUGGCGAAGGCGGCUCUCUGGGACGUGACUGACGCUGAGACGCGAAAGCGUGGGGAGCAAACAGG
rnacentral:rRNA from 1 species